rnacentral:rRNA from 1 species
UAAGAGGGGGGAUAACAUCCGGAAACGGGUGCUAAUACCGCAUAGUUUUCUUGAUCGCAUGAUCGGGAAAGGAAAGACGGCCUUUUGUGCUGUCGCUUAUGGAUGGACCCGCGGCGGUAUUAGUUAGUUGGUGAGGGUAACGGCUCACCAAGACGAUGAUACGUAGCCGACCUGAGAGGGUGAUCGGCCACAUUGGGACUGAGACACGGCCCAAACUCCUACGGGAGGCAGCAGUAGGGAAUCUUCCGCAAUGGACGAAAGGUCUGACGGAGCAACGCCGCGUGAGUGAAGAAGGUUUUUUCCGGAUCGUAAAACUCUGUUGUCAGAGAAGAACAAGUUGGAGAGUAACUGCUCCAGCCUUGACGGUAUCUGACCAGAAAGCCACGGCUAACUACGUGCCAGCAGCUGC